rnacentral:rRNA from 1 species
AUUGAACGCUGGCGGCAGGCCUAACACAUGCAAGUCGAACGAGUGGCGGACGGGUGAGUAAUGUCUGGGAAACUGCCUGAUGGAGGGGGAUAACUACUGGAAACGGUAGCUAAUACCGCAUACCAUCAGAUGUGCCCAGAUGGGAUUAGCUAGUUGGUGGGGUAACGGCUCACCAAGGCGACGAUCCAUAUCUGGUCUGAGAGGAUGACCAGCCACGCUGGAACUGAGCCACGGUCCAGACUCCUACGGGAGGCAGCAGUGGGGAAUAUUGCACAAUGGGCGGAAAUCGGAUGCAGCCAUGCCGCGUGUAUGAAGAAGGCAUUCGGGUUGUAAAGUACUAUAAGCGGUGAGGAGUUAACCGCAGAAGAAGCACCGGCUAACUCCGUGCCAGCAGCCGCGGUAAUUC